rnacentral:rRNA from 1 species
CAGCAGUGGGGAAUAUUGCACAAUGGGGGAAACCCUGAUGCAGCGACGCCGCGUGGAGGAAGAAGGUCUUCGGAUUGUAAACUCCUGUUGUUGAGGAAGAUAAUGACGGUACUCAACAAGGAAGUGACGGCUAACUACGUGCCAGCAGCCGCGGUAAAACGUAGGUCACAAGCGUUGUCCGGAAUUACUGGGUGUAAAGGGAGCGCAGGCGGGAGAACAAGUUGGAAGUGAAAUCCAUGGGCUCAACCCAUGAACUGCUUUCAAAACUGUUUUUCUUGAGUAGUGCAGAGGUAGGCGGAAUUCCCGGUGUAGCGGUGGAAUGCGUAGAUAUCGGGAGGAACACCAGUGGCGAAGGCGGCCUACUGGGCACCAACUGACGCUGAGGCUCGAAAGUGUGGGUAGCAAACAGGAUUAGAUACCCUGGUAGUCCACACCGUAAACGAUGAUUACUAGGUGUUGGAGGAUUGACCCCUUCAGUGCCGCAGUUAACACAAUAAGUAAUCCACCUGGGGAGUACGACCGCAAGGUUGAAACUCAAAGGAAUUGACGGGGGCCCGCACAAGCAGUGGAGUAUGUGGUUUAAUUCGACGCAACGCGAAGAACCUUACCAAGUCUUGACAUCCCUUGACGAACAUAGAAAUAUGUUUUCUCUUCGGAGCAAGGAGACAGGUGGUGCAUGGUUGUCGUCAGCUCGUGUCGUGAGAUGUUGGGUUAAGUCCCGCAACGAGCGCAACCCUUAUGGUCAGUUACUACGCAAGAGGACUCUGGCCAGACUGCCGUUGACAAAACGGAGGAAGGUGGGGAUGACGUCAAAUCAUCAUGCCCUUUAUGACUUGGGCUACACACGUACUACAAUGGCGUUAAACAAAGAGAAGCAAGACCGCGAGGUGGAGCAAAACUCAGAAACAACGUCCCAGUUCGGACUGCAGGCUGCAACUCGCCUGCACGAAGUCGGAAUUGCUAGUAAUCGUGGAUCAGCAUGCCACGGUGAAUACGUUCCCGGGCCUUGUACAC